rnacentral:tRNA from 1 species
GCCUAAGUAGCUCAGCUGGUCAGAGCACCCCUCUUGUAAAGGGGAGGUCGAGAGUUCGAAUCUCUCCUUAGGCU